UUAAGUAGCUGAUUUUAAAAGUAAAACUUUUAACAUUGGCUCCUUAAGAACAAUUUUAAAAGUGCUACUUUUAAAAUCGGCUACUUAA
rnacentral:miRNA from 1 species